GCUAAGAUCAAGUGUAGUAUCUGUUCUU
rnacentral:piRNA from 4 species